UACGUAGGGUGCAAGCGUUGUCCGGAAUUAUUGGGUGUAAAGAGCUCGUAGGCGGUUUGUCGCGUCGGCCGUGAAAACUUGGGGCUUAACCCCAAGCCUGCGGUCGAUACGGGCAGACUUGAGUUCGGCAGGGGAGACUGGAAUUCCUGGUGUAGCGGUGAAAUGCGCAGAUAUCAGGAGGAACACCGGUGGCGAAGGCGGGUCUCUGGGCCGAUACUGACGCUGAGGAGCGAAAGCGUGGGGAGCGAACAGG
rnacentral:rRNA from 1 species